rnacentral:rRNA from 1 species
GACGAACGCUGGCGGCGUGCUUAACACAUGCAAGUCGAACGGAAAGGCCCUGCUUUUGUGGGGUGCUCGAGUGGCGAACGGGUGAGUAACACGUGAGUAACCUGCCCUUGACUUUGGGAUAACUUCAGGAAACUGGGGCUAAUACCGGAUAGGAGCUCCUGCUGCAUGGUGGGGGUUGGAAAGUUUCGGCGGUUGGGGAUGGACUUGCGGCUUAUCAGCUUGUUGGUGGGGUAGUGGCUUACCAGGGCUUUGACGGGUAGCCGGCCUGAGAGGGUGACCGGCCACAUUGGGACUGAGAUACGGCCCAGACUCCUACGGGAGGCAGCAGUGGGGAAUAUUGCACAAUGGGCGGAAGCCUGAUGCAGCAACGCCGCGUGCGGGAUGACGGCCUUCGGGUUGUAAACCGCUUUCGCCUGUGACGAAGCGUGAGUGACGGUAAUGGGUAAAGAAGCACCGGCUAACUACGUG